rnacentral:rRNA from 1 species
UACGGAGGGGGCUAGCGUUGUUCGGAAUUACUGGGCGUAAAGCGCACGUAGGCGGCUUUGCAAGUUAGAGGUGAAAGCCCGGGGCUCAACUCCGGAAUUGCCUUUAAAACUGCAUCGCUAGAAUUGUGGAGAGGUAAGUGGAAUUCCUGGUGUAGCGGUGAAAUGCGCAGAUAUCAGGAGGAACACCUAUUGCGAAGGCAGCUCGCUGGGACGUAACUGACACUGAGACGCGAAAGCGUGGGGAGCAAACAGG